rnacentral:rRNA from 1 species
AGGGAUCAUUACACAAAUAUGAAGGCGGGCUGGAACCUCUCGGGGUUACAGCCUUGCUGAAUUAUUCACCCUUGUCUUUUGCGUACUUCUUGUUUCCUUGGUGGGUUCGCCCACCACUAGGACAAACAUAAACCUUUUGUAAUUGCAAUCAGCGUCAGUAACAAAUUAAUAAUUACAACUUUCAACAACGGAUCUCUUGGUUCUGGCAUCGAUGAAGAACGCAGCGAAAUGCGAUAAGUAGUGUGAAUUGCAGAAUUCAGUGAAUCAUCGAAUCUUUGAACGCACAUUGCGCCCUUUGGUAUUCCAAAGGGCAUGCCUGUUCGAGCGUCAUUUGUACCCUCAAGCUUUGCUUGGUGUUGGGCGUCUUGUCUCUAGCUUUGCUGGAGACUCGCCUUAAAGUAAUUGGCAGCCGGCCUACUGGUUUCGGAGCGCAGCACAAGUCGCACUCUCUAUCAGCAAAGGUCUAGCAUCCAUUAAGCCUUUUUUUCAACUUUUGACCUCGGAUCAGGUAGGGAUACCC